UAAAUUCACUUCCUGGUCUUGUUGAGAGACGUUGCUCGCAGUGCGGUUGGGUUGGCUACUGUAUAGACCCCACUUCCAUGUGACACACAGUUUGAAUGACCACAUUCUCAUUUGAAGAGGUGGCUGUCUGUGCUUAAGGCCGCAAGUCAGAGCCAGGAUAGACACAGAAGAGAGAGUUUUCGGAAAGUUAUACUUGUGUGGAAGCAUCUUCUUUUCUGAAGCAAACCAUCAAAUGGAAGACAAGUGGAAUGCUCUUGUUGAAGGCAUCUGAGAGUGACUGGGAGCUGUCUUAUCAUCAGGAGCUCAAGUGAGAACCACAGAAAGAGAAUUUGGAUAAAAGUCCAAGCAGGGGUCAAAGGGUUCUAUCAAAGCUUGUCAGAAAAUGGCAGUUUUGGUGUAAUUUGUAUCUGAAAUGGUGGGGGAGGAUUAUGAGUCAGGGCAGCAGUCCAAAUUAUCAGGAGUAUUUUUGUAUUUCUAAGUUCUGUGUGUAUGUUGUGAUAGGCACUGUGGACAAAGGGCAUGUUCUACAGUGCAGAUGUCACAUGACUAAAAGACCAAGCCUCAAUGGUGAGGGAGGAAUGUACCACUACCCAGCACCUCAUAAGCUUACACCUAAUACUGUAGCUUAUUCUUCUGCCUAGUUGGCUUUGCAGAUGUUAGACCAGAAUAGUGUUCAUUGUUCUCGGCUAGAAAUAGCUGUACAAAAUAAGUAAUUGUACCUUACUGAACCCGUGUUCAGCAGUUGUCUACGAUCAUGAAAUGCACUUUUUUGUACGUCGCUUUGGAUAAAAGCGUCUGCCAAAUGAAUGUAAUGUAAUGUAAUGUGUGAUUACUGCAAUAGCCAAUGUAUGUUACAGAGAGAAAAACUAAUGGGCAACCAUGAUGACACAAAUAACGCUUGAUGUCAGUUACGUGAUGGAUAAUUAAAAUGAUUAAAAGCAUUGAAUAUGUUAAAUGUUCAUUUGGUUGUUCUGUCUGAUGAUACUAAUAAUAAUUCUGCCAUAAUAAAAUGUAAAGUGUAGGAAAAAAUGUCAAAUAAAAUUAAGUAAAUAAACACAUGAUAUGCAUACAAAAAACAC